rnacentral:rRNA from 1 species
GACGAGCGCUGGCGGCGUGCCUAAUACAUGCAAGUAGAACGCUGAAGGAGGAGCUUGCUUCUCCGGAUGAGUUGCGAACGGGUGAGUAACGCGUAGGUAACCUGCCUGGCAGCGGGGGAUAACUAUUGGAAACGAUAGCUAAUACCGCAUAAGAGUAGAUGUCGCAUGACAUUCGCUUAAAAGGUGCAAAUGCACUAUUACCAGAUGGACCUGCGGUGUAUUAGCAAGUUGGUGAGGUAACGGCUAACCAAGGCAACGAUACCUAGCCGGCCUGGGAGGGUGAUCAGCCACACUGGGACUGGAACACGGCCCAGACCCCUACGGGAGGCAGCGGUAGGGAAUCUUCGGCUAUGGACGGAAGUCUGACCGUGCAACGCCGCGUGAGUGAAGAAGGUUUUCGGAUUGUAAAGCUCUGUUGUAAGAGAAGAACGAGUGUGGUAGUGGAAAGUUCACACUGUGACGGUAUCUUACCAGAAAGGGACGGCUAACUACGUG